rnacentral:tRNA from 3 species
UGAUUCAUAGUGUAAUGGUUGAGCACACAAGAUUUUGAUUCUUGUAGUUUAGGUUCGAAUCCUAAUGAAUUAA